rnacentral:rRNA from 1 species
UACGGAGGGAGCAAGCGUUACUCAGAAUUAUUGGGCGUAAAGGGCGCGUAGGCGAUUUGACAAGUCUUGUGUGAAAGCCCAGAGCUUAACUUUGGAAGUGCAUAAGAAACUGUUGAAUUUGAGUAUAGGAGAGGAAGGCAGAAUUCCCGGUGUAGCGGUGAAAUGCGUAGAUAUCGGGAGGAAUACCAGUGGCGAAGGCGGCCUUCUGGACUAUAACUGACGCUGAGGCGCGAAAGCUAGGGGAGCAAACGGG